CCACACAACAGCCAGAACGGGGWUACUCCAAGCACGGCCCCGCUGGGGCCUGGUUUCCCUCAUUCAGAUGAACGCGGGCAGCACCGAGCAACGGCAGCCAAGGGAGGCAGGUCGCAAAGGGCAGGCCGCAGCUCUGAGGGAGAUCCAGGCUUUCUCGGGGCUCCGCUCGGCUCCGUCCCCCUCCCGAGGCCGCCUGGAGCGGGAGCUGCCCCGCGCCCGGGCCGCCUCAGGACCUUCGGGGGCGGCAGAGCCGGGCGGCGCCUUCCCGCCACACCAUCCCCUCACCGCCCAGGACCGGCGGGGGGGCGGGCCUUCUCCUCAGGCCGCCGCGGAGCCAGCUGCCUUCUGACUGGCCACCGGCGCUGCCCGUCGCGUAACGUCACCCGCCGCAACCAAUGGGAGCGCAGGGGCUGGGGGGGGCGCGCGCCGGGGUGGGGGCGGGGGGCGAGCGUCGCGCGCCGGCGUCGCGCGGCAGGUAGGGCCGGUACCGGCUGCGCGCGGGGGGGGGCUGAGGGGGAGGCCGGGCCGGGCCGGGUCCCUCCUGCCCCCGCUCCCCCGGGGCGCCCCUCCCUCAGGGCGGGCGGUGGCUGUGGGGGCCCCGGUGGUCGGUUGCGGGGGGGGGAGGGGAUGCUGCGGUGGCCGCGGCCUGCGGCCCGUGCGGUGGCAGCCGCCACGGCCCCGGUUAGCGGAGCAGCCCGGCAGRACGACCCCGCCGCCGGGGCGCGGAAACCCCCAGCAUCCGUGGCCCCUUGGCAGGGAUUUGCCGGGAAAAGCCUCGCUCCUCGCUUCUGGCACGAAGCCUGGAUAAAGCAGACAAAUCGGUUCGAUGCAGUGGGGGUGAGAGCGCAGAUGUGCGCCGAGCCCUGGGGCGGGGCGGGGCGGGCAGCGCCUCGGAGCCCUGGCAGAUUCGGGCUUCGGGAGGGCUCCCAGAGGAUGCGGAAGGUGAAGAGUUUAUCGGGCUUCCUCCCACCGAGGGGAGGCCCAGGACGAGCGCUCGCAGCUGUGCCGAGGGCCGCCUCGGCGGCAGUCAGGUGUCUGGGAGCUGCCGCGCUUCUCGGUCAUGACUCGGAGAUGUUUCCCGUGUUUGUUCCCUCUCCUUGUCAGUCAGAGCGUUGUUAG
rnacentral:lncRNA from 1 species